UCCCAGCAGUCCGAGUCGCAGCCACAUUUGUUGGGUCUAAAAUAUCCGUAGCUUGCUUUUCAAGUCUCUUGUGAAAUCGGGACUCUUAAGGUUCCGGCGGGCAAGAGAUACUGUUUAGCUAGAGACCGGGAGGCGUAAGAAGUAUGAUUAGGGUAGCGGUAAAAUGCGUUGAUCCUAAUUAGACUAACAGUCGCGAAGGCGUCUUACGAGAACGGUUCUGACAGUGAGGGAUGAAGGCUAGGGGC
rnacentral:rRNA from 1 species